GACGAACGCUGGCGGCGUGCCUAAUACAUGCAAGUCGAACGCUUCUUUUUCCACCGGAGCUUGCUCCACCGGAGAAAGAGGAGUGGCGAACGGGUGAGUAACACGUGGGUAACCUGCCCAUCAGAAGGGGAUAACACUUGGAAACAGGUGCUAAUACCGUAUACCAAUCGAAACCGAAUGGUUUUGAUUUGAAAGGCGCUUUCGGGUGUCGCUGAUGGAUGGACCCGCGGUGCAUUAGCUAGUUGGUGAGGUAACGGCUCACCAAGGCCACGAUGCAUAGCCGACCUGAGAGGGUGAUCGGCCACAUUGGGACUGAGACACGGCCCAAACUCCUACGGGAGGCAGCAGUAGGGAAUCUUCGGCAAUGGACGAAAGUCUGACCGAGCAACGCCGCGUGAGUGAAGAAGGUUUUCGGAUCGUAAAACUCUGUUGUUAGAGAAGAACAAGGAUGAGAGUAACUGUUCAUCCCUUGACGGUAUCUAACCAGAAAGCCACGGCUAACUACGUGCCAGCCGCCGCCGUAA
rnacentral:rRNA from 1 species